CUAGAGAUUAAAGGUACCAUCACCUAUAGGUUUACAAUUGAGGAAGGAUAAUAGAAAGAAUCUAGUCUGCAAGACUGCAUGCUCAGACCAUGUGGUUAUAAUACAACAAUAUAAAAAAUGUGAGGGAGUGUUUAAUGGGGAAAUCAUGUGAAAAGUAAUAUUAGUAGUUUCAAGUAAUCAUAUUGGCUCUGGUGGAAUAGUAGUGUUAUUCAAAGGUUGGCAUGUAAUCUGACUAUGAGCAAAUGAGUAAUUAUAGAUAUUCUAAUUUUACCACCCCCAAUGAAUCCAAGCAAAAUCAUCAACAAGAAAGAAAAGAAAACAUAGAUAUAAUAUUUAAGAGAUUCAGCAAAAUCUUGCAGUUCUGAAUGCAACCUGGAAAGAUCAAUAGGAAUUCAAACAGUAUUUUAUCUUUUUCUUGGCUCUCUAUACUGUAAGAGCCAAAAACCAAUGACUAACCAAAGAAAAUGAGAAUCCCUAGCAUAUAGGUUGUAUUCUUGAAAUAUCAGUUUUUUAGGGGGGGUGGAUCUUUCCAGAUCUGGGGCAGAAAAUGUAGAAGGUGAGUUUAGUGAAGGAUUUAUCAGAGUCAUGUCAGAAGGACUCAGGAGCCAACUGGCAAAAACAGAAUGAUUGGAGCGUCAGUAAGACAAUAAUUGCAAUAGGUUGUCACCAUCAUGUAUCUCAUUAUAAUAAUAUUAAUAACAAUAAAAUUAAAUGGCAUAUUUUGGAGAAUGAUAGAGAACUAAUUCAGUGUCCCAAAAAAUUAAAAAAGAGAAAGGAUUUAAAAAAGAACUAAUUCAGGAGUUCCCGUCCUGGCGCAGUGGUUAACGAAUCCGACUAGGAACCAUGAGGUUGCGGGUUCGGUCCCUGCCCUUGCUCAGUGGGUUAACGAUCCGGCGUUGCAGUGAGCUGUGGUGUAGGUUGCAGACGCGGCUCGGAUCCCGCGUUGCUGUGGCUCUGGCACAGGCCGGUGGCUACAGCUCCAAUUCAACCCAUAGCCUGGGAACCUCCAUAUGCCGCGGGAGCGGCCCAAGAAAUAGCAAC
rnacentral:lncRNA from 1 species